rnacentral:misc_RNA from 1 species
GAUGAAGAACGCAGCGAAAUGCGAUAAGUAAUGUGAAUUGCAGAAUUCAGUGAAUCAUCGAAUCUUUGAACGCACCUUGCACCCUUUGGCAUUCCGAAGGGUAUGCUCGUUUGAGUGUCAUUGUACUCUCACACUUCCAAUUCUUUGGAUUGGGAGCGGUGGACUUGGGCGCUGCUGCUUUACUGUGGCUCACCUCAAAUGCAUUAGUGCAACCCUUGGUUAGACAUAGUACGGCGUGAUAAGUGUCUUCGCUGGCGCCUCACUUUUAGAGGGUGGCUGAUCAGGGGCUCUGUGCUUCAAACCGUCUUUGGACAAUGGCUGACAACUUGACCUCAAAUCGAGUAGGACUACCCGCUGAACUUAAGCAUAUCAAUAAGCGGAGGA